rnacentral:tRNA from 1 species
AAGACUCUAGUAAAUAAUUACAUAGCCCUGUCAGUGCUAAAUAAUAGGUAAACCCCUGUGAGACUUA